rfam:Camelus ferus unplaced genomic scaffold scaffold504, whole genome shotgun sequence.
GAGAGUAUAGCUCAAGCAGUAGAGUGCAUGCUUAGCAUGCACAAGGUCCUGGGUUCAAUCCCCAGUACCUCCU